rnacentral:rRNA from 1 species
UACGUAGGGGGCAAGCGUUGUCCGGAAUUAUUGGGCGUAAAGAGCGCGUAGGCGGUCCGAUAAGUCGGCUGUGAAAGUCAAGGGCUCAACCCUUGGAAGCCGGCCGAUACUGUCGGACUAGAGUCCGGAAGAGGCGAGUGGAAUUCCCGGUGUAGCGGUGAAAUGCGCAGAUAUCAGGAGGAACACCAGUGGCGAAGGCGCCGCUCUGGGCCGUGACUGACGCUGAGGAGCGAAAGCGUGGGUAGCAAACAGG